rnacentral:rRNA from 1 species
UGGCGGCAUGCUUUACACAUGCAAGUCGAACGCGUCAGGGGGCAACUUCUGAUGAGUGGCGAACGGGUGAGUAAUGCAUCGGAACGUACCCCGUAGUGGGGGAUAACCCGGCGAAAGCCGGGCUAAUACCGCAUAUGCUCUACGGAGGAAAGCAGGGGACCCGCAAGGGCCUUGUGCUAUGGGAGCGGCCGAUGCCCGAUUAGCUAGUUGGUGAGGUAAAGGCUCACCAAGGCGACGAUCGGUAGCUGGUCUGAGAGGAUGAUCAGCCACACUGGGACUGAGACACGGCCCAGACUCCUACGGGAGGCAGCAGUGGGGAAUUUUGGACAAUGGGGGCAACCCUGAUCCAGCCAUGCCGCGUGCGGGAAGAAGGCCUUCGGGUUGUAAACCGCUUUUGGUCGGGAAGAAAAGGCACCUCCUAACAGGGGGUGUUGUUGACGGUACCGGCAGAAUAAGCACCGGCUAACUACGUGCCAGCAGCCGCGGUAAUACGUAGGGUGCGAGCGUUAAUCGGAAUUACUGGGCGUAAAGCGUGCGCAGGCGGUUCGCCGUGUCCGAUGUGAAAGCCCCGGGCUCAACCUGGGAACGGCAUUGGAAACUGGCGGGCUGGAGUAUGGCAGAGGGGGGUGGAAUUCCACGUGUAGCAGUGAAAUGCGUAGAGAUGCGGAGGAACACCGAUGGCGAA